rnacentral:rRNA from 1 species
AUUGAACGCUGGCGGCAGGCCUAACACAUGCAAGUCGAACGAGUGGCGGACGGGUGAGUAAUGUCUGGGAAACUGCCUGAUGGAGGGGGAUAACUACUGGAAACGGUAGCUAAUACCGCAUACCAUCGGAUGUGCCCAAAUGGGAUUAGCUUGUAGGUGGGGUAACGGCUCACCGAGGCGACGAUCCCUAGCUGGUCUGAGAGGAUGACCAGCCACACCGGAACGGGUACACGGUCCCGACGCCUACGGGAGGCAGCAGUGGGAAAUAUUGCACAAUGUGCGCAAUUCUGAUGCAGCCAUGUCGCGUGUAUGAAGAAGGCCUUCGGGUUGUAAAGUACUUUCAGCGGGGAGGCGUUACCCGCAGAAGAAGCACCGGCUAACUCCGUGCCAGCAGCCGCGGUAAUUC